UUUCACGAAUUCAUAUCCCUGCGCCACGAUGGAGGUCUGAGAGACCUGCGCUGCGCAGACCACGCCUUGCGCCUCACCAACGACGAACGACCAAGAGAUUCCGGCCAAUAGGUUGAAGGUUCCGGUGAAUAGCUUUUAAGCCUCGAAUCUCUGAGUGCUUGAUUGUUGACGAAACUGGGCCAUUCUCUUCACUGCAAGAAACGAUCAAGGAAAAGCUACUAUAAAGAGGGAUAUUAUCUUUAUCCAAAGUUUGAUGCAUCUGAGGCCUAUUGAAGAGCUUUGAGGACAUGGGCAAACUGGAUUGAUCAUAAUAUUAAUCCAUCAAAGCAGUGGUCUUCUAUCGUGGCUACUCUUCUGCCCGUUUCAGAAAAUCAGGAAUUUGAACAUCAGCUUGCGACUUCGCUGUCGAUUUGAACGCCACCAUCUUCGAUGCAGUCCUUGGGAUACACCCCUACCUCCUUUUCCAUAGUCAAAUUCUUCGCUCACUGAUAUUUCAGAAUUUCAGAAAGCAGGUGCGGUUUGAUCAAUGAAGGCCGACCUGAUUUACAGAGGUCUGAUUAGAGGCCAUGAAAAUCAAUGUUGAAAUCUUUGCGGGAACCCAAAGUCAUGGGUUGAAACAUGCAGGUGACGUUAUUGACUGGAAUUCCAUAAAUCCUGAAGUCUUGCUACGUAGAAAAUUCAAAGCAUUAAUCCAUCCAAAUGAUGGCACAAAUGAUGUCACAAAUGAUGUCACAGAUGAUGUCACAUAUUUACUAUAAAAGGGCUAGCGAGAACCUUUUACAAAACACUCACAACAAACAAGUUUCCAAGAACUAAAACUUGAA